rnacentral:rRNA from 1 species
GGUAAUACAGAGGGUGCAAGCGUUAAUCGGAAUUACUGGGCGUAAAGCGCGCGUAGGUGGUUUGUUAAGUUGGAUGUGAAAUCCCCGGGCUCAACCUGGGAACUGCAUUCAAAACUGACAAGCUAGAGUAUGGUAGAGGGUGGUGGAAUUUCCUGUGUAGCGGUGAAAUGCGUAGAUAUAGGAAGGAACACCAGUGGCGAAGGCGACCACCUGGACUGAUACUGACACUGAGGUGCGAAAGCGUGGGGAGCAAACAGG